UCCUUACUUUUCUCUCCUACCCAUUUAGUCUCCUGAAUGCAAGCAAUAUUCACCCUUCUCCUUUCCAAGGUAUCCACAAGCUCCAUCAAUUUUCCUGUAAGUGAUCCAACAUUCCAAGUACCAACCCUGAUCCUCCUCCUAUCCUGCUCCUUCCUAAUUGGUCUCCUUCUAUGAUAUCUUCUAUUGUUUUCUAUAUCUAUCUUGUGUUCUGUUCCACUAUUUGUUCUAUUAUCUGUCCUAUGGACUAACUUCUUUACCCACACCCGUCCAUGAUGUGGGAACCCUUGCUCACUUAACACCACACCCGAGCGCCGGCAUGGCGCGUCGCUUUCGGUGAACGCCCUACACCCUUGCAUAUUUAUCACUACACCCGGGCUCCGAUGUAGCGCGUCGUUAGUAGAGGACACUAAUUCUCCGUGUGUGUGUAGCAUAUAUAUAUAGACAUAUCUCCUUCUUUGUAUGGCUUGUAUAUGAUCCACAAAUUGUAAAGCUGUUCAUUUUCUUACAAUGGUCGCCAGCAACAUGAAGCACUUUUGUUGACUAUUAGGAUUGAUUUAUAUCUUCUUACAUUGGCUAAUACGUAAUCCAAUUGUUCCUGCAUUUAGCAAUUUUGUUCUGCUUAGUAACAAGAUUGCAACUCACCAAGGCGUUAUUUAUCGUAGUGCAAAAUUUUAAAUUUAAUUGCAAUUCUCUACAAGUGGAGAACCUUUAGUCCAAUAUGUGAUGGAGCUAAGCUAAGUAUCUCUGUGUGGAGGUGUGCAUGUUAAGAGGUAAAAUAAUUGAAUUUAGAGUUGAUCUCCUGGACAGAAAGACGUUGCCUUCCUGAUUACUUUUCUCAGGUUUUGGUCUAGUUUGGUUGAAAAUGGUUCCUUUUAAGCCUUGUUCAUAUCAUGUAGCACAGGAUGUUUUCCACUUGACAACAUCGUUUUGCACCAGACGUCCUCUUCUAUGUAGCAUACUUACAUGAGGCAAACAAGUUGGAUCGGGCAGAUUCGGAUUAGAUUUUUGCAACAAUUUAAUUUAAUUUAAUUUAAUUUUUAUAUUUAUAAAUAAAACAAUUUAAUUAAUUUAACUUUAAAAAAUUUAUUUUAAGCGAAAUAAAAAUUAUGUGAAAAGUAAUAUAAUUAUGUGAAUUCAUUUAAUUUUUUUUAUUGCAAAUAAUUAUUUAAAGAAGUAAUUGAGUUUUGCAUUUUGAGUUAUUUUGAAUUUUUACUUUUUCAAAAAAAAUUUAAUGUAAUUUUUUUUUAAUUUAAAUGAAUCAAUUUUAAAUUAAUCAUCAUGUUGACUUUUGAAUUUGUAAUUCAUUCAAGAUUUAUAUUUUGUGCGAGUUCAAAUAAAUUAAAGGUCGUUAGUAAAACUGUGAGCCCAUUGAUCAUCUGGCCUUGCUGUCAGGAUUUGAAAUCUUCACGGGCUUUUUCAUUGUCAAGUUACAGCCCAAUUUCAAUUGAAACGGCGUCGGUGCUCUCUCUUUGGUGUUGAAAUUUUAUCAUUGGAUUCUCCAUGCCCCUCUGGCCCUCCGUGACCGAAAAUUCAAAAUCCAGGUAAAUUCUCACCUCAAUUAUUAUCAAGAGCGGCCAUUCUGUAUACAACAAGCUCAUGUCUUUUCUGUUCAAGUAUUCCUUCUUAAUCAGCCAAACCAUGAAUUGGCAUUUUUCCUUGACUAUAAUCUUUCUUUGGUUCCCAAGAACGUCUCUUUGCUUCCCUUUUGAGGCCUGAUUUUUCUAGUUUUCUUUAUGGUGGAGAUAACCACCAUAGUGAAAGUUAGUGAAAGUUAAAGGCAUUCUACAUAUUGUCAGGGCAUUUAAAUAUUUGUUUAGUUGAAUUUGGUUUUGAGUCUUGUAUUAUCAGUAUUCAGUAAUGCACAUUAGGAGAGCGAUUUGAUAGCUUUUGCAAAGUGAAUAGUGAAAAUUGUAGAGCUUUUACCUGUUCGUUUGGAAAGGAUACCAUGUGAGUCUGCUGGAAGGAUGCAAAAAGGAAGAGAAUUAGGAGUUAUUUUUGGUGUAAGAGGAAAGUACCAUUUCUCAAAGGUGUGAUUUCUUUCCCAUCCAGAUAGGCCAUGUUGUGAAGAAUUAAGAGCUACACGUAAAUUCAAAAUUUACAUCAAUGCUGCCAUCAGAACAGGAUGGCUAUCAAAUGCUAGCAUUAUCAAGCUAUUUUGCUGCUAGCUGUUUGCACACGAAACAUAAGAAGGAUAUAGGCUUGGUGUCAUCCAUUGUUGCAAGAAAUUUGGCAUGCCCAUCCCAUGCAUGAAGUGAAACAACAUCUAUUUAAUUUUUCAAUUCUGCCAGAAUUAGCACCUUUUUACUUGGAUAAACUAAGUUCUUGGAACCAUUAUUAUGGUUUUAAGGUCAAAAAGCUCUUUAAGUAGAUCAAUGCAGCUCUUGAGAUGUGUCUGAUGCAACUAAGCUGCUGCAUUUCAACAGAAAACCCAUGAUCCUCUUCCCACUGUCCUGUAAAAUUGGUGCAUCAAUUGAGGUGCAAUGCAGGUUUUCUUUAAAUAAAUCGGAGUCUCUGUUGCCGAUGUGUGAGCAGACGGUCACCAACAUUCAAUGCAGGAUACAUGAAGGUUAUGAAGCUCGAUGCCACAAUUCCAUGGUCGGAGCUCAUAGAAGCAGCACGCAGAAAUGAUUCUAUAUCAAGAAACCCAUCACUUUAUAGCGUUGCCGCUGCAUUUAUACAGUACUUAAUCUUGAAGUUUGCAGGUCAUCACUUUCAUCUUUAUCAAGAAACCAUCAAUGUUACGCCUCAUUGUUAAUCAUUCAGCUUUUGUCUCUCAUAGUGUCUCGUAUUGAUGCAUAAAACUUCACUCAUUUUUAUUGGGGAACAAUUUUAGUGGGACUUUACUUACAUCUCCUUUUGUAUAAUUUGUAAAACUCCGAUUCCAUUUUCUGUGGAGACUGAAGAGAGUUGAGAA